rnacentral:rRNA from 1 species
AUUGAACGCUGGCGGCAUGCUUUACACAUGCAAGUCGAACGGCAGCACGGGGGCAGCCCUGGUGGCGAGUGGCGAACGGGUGAGUAAUACAUCGGAACGUGCCCGGUCGUGGGGGAUAACGUAGCGAAAGUUACGCUAAUACCGCAUACGACCUGAGGAUGAAAGCGGGGGACCUUCGGGCCUCGCGCGAUCGGAGCGGCCGAUGUCAGAUUAGGUAGUUGGUGGGGUAAAGGCCUACCAAGCCGACGAUCUGUAGCUGGUCUGAGAGGACGACCAGCCACACUGGGACUGAGACACGGCCCAGACUCCUACGGGAGGCAGCAGUGGGGAAUUUUGGACAAUGGGCGCAAGCCUGAUCCAGCCAUUCCGCGUGCAGGACGAAGGCCUUCGGGUUGUAAACUGCUUUUGUACGGAACGAAAAGGCUCUGGCUAAUACCUGGGGCUCAUGACGGUACCGUAAGAAUAAGCACCGGCUAACUACGUG